rnacentral:rRNA from 1 species
ACACUCCUGCGGGAGGCAGCAGUGGGGAAUUUUGGACAAUGGGCGAAAGCCUGAUCCAGCAAUGCCGCGUGCAGGAUGAAGGCCUUCGGGUUGUAAACUGCUUUUGUACGGAACGAAAAAGCUCCUUCUAACACAGGGGGCCCAUGACGGUACCGUAAGAAUAAGCACCGGCUAACUACGUGCCAGCAGCCGCGGUAAUACGUAGGGUGCGAGCGUUAAUCGGAAUUACUGGGCGUAAAGCGUGCGCAGGCGGUUAUGUAAGACAGAUGUGAAAUCCCCGGGCUCAACCUGGGAACUGCAUUUGUGACUGCAUGGCUAGAGUACGGUAGAGGGGGAUGGAAUUCCGCGUGUAGCAGUGAAAUGCGUAGAUAUGCGGAGGAACACCGAUGGCGAAGGCAAUCCCCUGGACCUGUACUGACGCUCAUGCACGAAAGCGUGGGGAGCAAACAGGAUUAGAUACCCCGGUAGUCCCAUGA